AGGACGAACGCUGGCGGCGUGCCUAACACAUACAAGUCGAACGCGCUCCAUUCGGUAGCAAUACUGAUGAAGAGCGAGUGGCGAACGGGUGAGUAGCACGUGAGCAACCUGCCCCGAAGACUGGGACAACACCGGGAAACCGGUGCUAAUACCGGAUAUCCCUAUCGGACCGCAUGAUCUGAUAAGGAAAUGGAUUCCGCUUCGGGAGGGGCUCGCGGCCUAUCAGCUAGUUGGUGGGGUAACGGCCCACCAAGGCAUCGACGGGUAGCUGGUCUGAGAGGACGAUCAGCCACACUGGGACUGAGACACGGCCCAGACUCCUACGGGAGGCAGCAGUGGGGAAUCUUGCGCAAUGGGCGAAAGCCUGACGCAGCAACGCCGCGUGGAGGACGAAGGCUUUCUGAGUUGUAAACUCCUUUCAGCAGGGACGAUAGUGACGGUACCUGCAGAAGAAGCACCGGCCAACUACGUGCCAGCAGCCG
rnacentral:rRNA from 1 species